AUUAGACUACCCGUGGUACGUCCUAGCAAGUAAACGAUGUGCACUAGAGUUUGGGUUAUAUCGACAUAAUCUGAGUCGUAGCUAACGCGUUAAGUGCACCGCCGUGGGGAGUACGACCGCAGGUUGAACUCAAAGAUUGACGGGGACCCGCACAAGCGGUGGAGCAUGUGGUUUAAUUCGACGCAACGCGAAGAACCUUACCCAGACUUGACAUGUAUUGGAUCGUUCAUGAAAGUGAAUUUUCCUUCGGGACUGAUACACAGGUGUUGCACGGCU
rnacentral:rRNA from 1 species